UAGUCUAGGGAUCAAUUGAGACCUCGAGACCGACUGCUUCCAAUUCAGCGUCUCCGAUGAGAAGAGACCAUACACUCGACGGGGUGUCUUGUCAACAAUCAACAGCCUCUACGAUCCUCUAGGGUUUGUAGCGCCAGUCACAAUACAAGGCAAGGCUAUUCUGAGAGAGCUAACAACUGAGAAAGGUGACUGGGACUCGCCUUUGCCUCGAGAAAUGGAGGAAUCAUGGACAUCGUGGAGAACAUCCUUAACAGAACUGUCCCAGCUGUCUACACUACAACUUCCCCCGCAACAGCUGUCAGAAGGGAAUUGUGCGUAUUUUCUGACGCAUCCACAAAAGCUAUUGCCGCUGUGGCAUACCUAAAAGUAACUGACUCUGCUGGAAAUAACUAUGUCGGAUUUGUAAUGGGCAAAGCCAAGCUGGCCCCCCGUCCUGAGCAAACAAUUCCGAGACUGGAGUGGAGUUAGCAGACCUAAUCUCGACAGAAUUAGACCUUCAGCUCGAUGCUACAACCUUCCACUCAGACAGCAAGGUGGUCCUUGGCUACAUUUCUAAUGAAACCAGGCGCUUUUAUGUGUAUGUAAGUAACCGGGUAUUGCGUAUCCGAAGAUCCUCUCGCCCAGAUCAAUGGCGCUAUGUGUCAACAGAACAGAACCCCGCAGACCACGCUACACGUGCUGUCACUGCAGGCCGUUUGAAUGACACAAACUGGCUGAGCGGGCCCAAAUCUCUGUACACACCGGAGACCAGUACCUCAGAGAGCACCCAUGAACUUGUGGACCCGAGUGCAGACUCAGACAUUCGCCCUCUGGUAUCCACUUUGAGCACUACGACAACAUCCAACCAGCUCGGUUCUCAGCGAUUCGCAAGGUUCUCAUCCUGGAAGUCGCUAACUCGGGCCAUUAUUCGCCUCAUACACAUAGCUCGCCUUUUCAACAGGACCUUGAAGAACAGCCUUUGUAAGGGCUGGCAUCACUGCAAAACAGGAUUCAAUUUUGAGGAGUCUAAUCAAGCAUCGCACAUCAUCAUUCGAGCAGUACAGGAGGAAGCCUACAGUCAAGAGAUCAAAUGUGUCCAAAAACAUGAGCAGAUCCCUAAAGGUAGUCCUCUCAAAAAUCUGGAUCCUUUCAUUGAUGCACUCGGCCUUCUGAGAGUCGGAGGCCGCCUCCACAAUGCAAACCUUGUUCAGAGCGAGAAGACCCCAGUGAUCAUUCCUGGCAAACAUCAGGUUGCAACCUUACUCAUCAAGCAUCACCACGAACAAAUCUAUCACCAAGGUCGUCUGUUUACGGAGGGGGCCGUCCGUACAGCUGGCUUUUGGAUAGUUGGUGGCAAAAGAAAGGUGAGCAACAUCAUCCACCAGUGUAUAACCUGCAGAAGGCUUAGAGCCCCACAAAAGAUGGCCAGUCUUCCAGCAGACAGUCUCUCAACAGAACCUCCCUUUACGAAUGUUGGGCUUGAUGUGUUCGGCCCUUGGAGUGUCUCUUCACGUAGAACAAGAGGAGGCCACUCACACAGUAAACGAUGGGCCGUAAUCUUCACGUGCAUGAGUGUACGAGCGGUUCAUAUUGAAGUCAUAGAAUCCCUUGACACAUCCAGCUUCGUCAACGCGCUAAGGCGCUUUCUUGCUGUGCGCGGCCCUGUCAAACACAUCCGCUCGGACCGUGGCACCAACUUUGUAGGCGCCUGCCGGGAGUUGAAAAUACCCUCAAACAUUGACAACACAACUGUGAAGACUUACCUGUUAGGUCAAGGUUGCUCGUGGACCUUUAACCCUCCGCACGCCUCCCAUUUUGGCGGUUCGUGGGAAAGAAUGAUUGGUCUUGCAAGGAGAAUCCUGGACGCCAUGUUCCUUCAGCUGAAGGACAAACUUACCCACGAGGUGCUGGUGACUUUCAUGGCAGAAGUUACAGCCAUUAUAAAUGGCAGACCUCUUGUUCCUGUGACAACCGACUCUGAGAAUCCAUUUAUACUCACUCCAGUUGCCCUUCUCACGCAAAAGGUGAAUGUCUUGACUGCCCCUACUGGAGUUUCAGACCUCUACAAGCGCCAGUGGCGACAGGUCCAGCACCUGUCUAACACCUUCUGGGACAGAUGACGAAAGCAAUAUCUCCCGACACUACAGGCAUGCAAGAAGUGGCAUUCCGCUCAUCCAAACAUCAGCCCAGGAAGUGUUGUUAUCCUCAAGGAUAGUCAAGCACCAAGAAAUGAAUGGCCUCUUGGACUGGUAACACAGGCGUUCCCCAGCGAGGACGGGAAGGUACGAAAGGUCGAGAUCAAGGUCGCACGAACAGGGGUGACUAAACUCUUUCUUAGGCCUGUUUCUGAGAUAGUGCUUCUUUUCCCCCCAGAGGCCUAGUGGAGUGAACUGUCUAGGAUUUAUUGGGUGGCGUGUAUUCACGCCAAGCGGGGAGUGUUUUGUCACAAACGUUAAAUCAAUGCUAUGUUUUAUUUUGAAAACAGGAAAUGUGAUGUAAUUUGUCAGGUGACAGGAACCAGGAAGUCAGUGAAGAAUAUGGCUCAGAACUGCUGUUUGUAUUGGUAGCUUUUCAAUCCAGUUGAGUCUGCCUGCAUCCUAUACCUUUUUGAUAGCAUCGUUGUUUUACUCUUUCUCAUGUCAAUAAACCUGUGGACAACGGAC